ensembl:lncRNA
UUCAAGACUUGGAAGUAAACGCCCACUGCUGUGACCGGGUCAUUUUCAACGCCCUCGCCAUUACACGUGUGGGAUUGUUUUGAAAACUUCCGAUGACCGCUUUAAUGCUGUACUAACGUUGCUUUGCCACGCUGGCUUUGAUUUAGGGCUUUUUUAGACUUGGUCUGAAUGCUCGAGUCGGCACCCAGGACCGAUUCUGGACUUGUUUGGGGGCGGGGUUUAUAAUCGCAGCUUUUGGACUGACGCAUCGAUUUAAAAGGCAGUGAUUUGAAAAGCAAUGACUUGAUGCAACAGUCAUAAAUAAAUGAUUAUCGGCCGAUAUUAUCAAGGCCUACUACAGAUUCUGAAACAAAGUCGGUCCCAUAUCGAUCAGAGGCUGCGAAAUCGUACCGUAUCGCAUCGUAGCAGCUUCAGCGUCCUUGUCAGAUAUCAACUCGUUGCCAUCGUCUCGUGUAGAAGCCGGAGGUUUACACUCCUAGUCCGUAUAAGGCUAAGUAAGUAUGAAGGACUUGAUUAAAACGGCUGAAAUAUAUUGCGCACAGUUCAAACAGAUUGGAGGCGUGCUCCCCGGAGAAUCAUCCUCCCUCUGCGAAACACGCUCGCAGCACACGGAAAGAAGUUUUCUGCUAGAUAAUGAGGAGAAGUGAAAUCUCAUCAUCUUCUGAUCCUCUCCUGGAGCGCACUGAUUUCCGCUCGUACCCUGUUUAACAUUUAUCUCGCAGGCCAAUUUAUUAUUCACCCGGACAGGUUAGCAGCAGGAUUAGUGCCACCAGCGUCUGUUUUCUCUACGUCCACAGACUUAAUGACACCGCGGUUAGCGCUGAAACCUGACAAUAAGGAGCGACUCUUAAUGGGAGGAGAGCAGCUGCACCACCACCCCCGGUUCAGAAAACCUCCAGUUUGUUUUACUUUAAUCACCAAUCCGGAGUGUGAGCUUAUCAGACCCGAGUGCCGUCGCUGUCUCACGGUGGCAUUUCUCUCUUGACCCGAGCGACGGCUGCUUUCACAGAACGCCACUCUUCUUUUUUUUUUCCUCCUCUCUCUUCUCGUCAUGUGUCGUUCGGCUCAGACGUGCCGAACGCGUAUCCCUGCAAUCUGCUCAGAGAAAGAAAACGAAAAUAAGGAGACAAAAAUAGUGCAGUGGUAUUUAAUGAUUCAUUUAUUUGUAUUAUUAUUUUGUUGUUGCUGUUGUUUUAAAUAACACAGAUGGCGAGUCCAUGGUGUAUCGGUGCCAUUUAGCCUUUGUAACUUUUAAACAUUAAACUCCUUUUUUUUGUUUGUUUGUUUGUUUGUUUUUUUAAAUCGCUUUCCAACAUUAAUUUUUGAAAUCUAUUUUCUUUAAGCAAAGGUUUUUUUGUUUUGUUUUUUUGCUGCAUUUUGCUACAAUUAGUAACCGGUUUGAACGUUUAUUUUAAAAUAUAUAUAUAUAUAUAUAUAUAUAUUAAUUAGCAAACAUACAAAACGUGCUUAAUAUUCUAAUUUACUUACUUUUUUUUUUAUUUACUUUCCGUGUUGAAUUCCCGCACCGUGUUUAUACGACAACAACAUGAUUACGGGAAGAAGAAAAAAAUGCAGAAAGGACUUUUGUUUUUUUUCCUAUGAUCGUCAGAAAGAUUCAAAUGAUGUAACUUCCUGUUGAACAGGAAGCGACUUGUGGAAUAUACCGUGGAAAGUGUUUCAUAAUGGCGAAUGCGGUCAGUUAACAGGGUUGAGUGAAUGCUUUUGUUUUUAUUAAUUUUUUUUUAUCAGUUUUCCUUUUUGCAAUUUCAUAUACGGUACUUUGCUAGUAAUAGUCCUUCAUAUUUAUUUUUUAAUCAAUGAGACAAUUAAUUCAUGAAUAAUUAUAUAUGAACAUCUUGACGUGUGUAUUAUUGAGUGGUUUUACUGUAGGUGGUGUACGGCAUGUGGUAGUCUAGUGAGAACUUUACACUAAAGCAUGGUACAUCCAUCCAUCCAUCUUCUAUACCGCUUAUCCUUUUUCUUCAGGGUCACGGGGAACCUGGAGCCUAUCCCAGGGAGCAUGGGGCACAAGGCAGGGUACACCCUGGACAGGGUGCCAAUCCAUCGCAGGGCACAAUCACAUACACACUCACACACCCAUUCAUAAACUACAGACACUUUAGACACGCCGAUCAGCCUACCAUGCAUUCCAAAGACGUGCGCGGUAGGCCGAUGGGCAUCUCUAAAUUGUCUGUUGUGUGUAGGUCAGUGGUUAAGACGUUGGGCUACUGCUUAGAAGGUCGUGAGUUCCGAACCCCAGCACGAUCAAACUGCCACUGUUGGGCCCUUGGGCAAGGCCCUUAAUCCACAACUGCUCAAAUGUAUAGAUGAGAUAAGUGUAAGUCGCUCUGGAUAAGGGCGUCUGCCAAAUGCCAUAAUGCCGGGGUGCUCUGCAAAGGGGUCGGCACCCCGUCCAGGUACCCCGGGUUCCCUGGGACAGGAUCCAGGCUCCCCGCGACCCUGUGUAGGAUGAGCAGUAUGGAAAAUGGCUGGAUGGGAUCGCAGGUUUUUAUUUUCCUUUUUUUAAGAAUACAAUUCGGACUCUUCCCUCUGUGACGUGUCACUCAACUUUGCCUACAUGAAACCUACCAUUUUCUACUGAAAGAGCCGUAAUGCUGUCAGACGUUCACAUCACAUCUCGUCUUUCGGAGAGAGUUUGCGGCUUGUCGCCACCGAGUACGAUCAGUCUCACACAUUUGAUUGGCCGGUUUCUGAGAGUGACAUCAAUGCUCUCUCCAAGAGGUACAGCAAAGACUCUGUCUGCCUCGCUGUUUCACCC